CACAUCGUCAGCUUCAGUGUCUGGAAAGACAAGUCCUUCACUGCUGAGUGUGUGUUGGGUCUGUAAUGCCACCCAAGUCACUCCAUGACCUCGUGAUGUUGAGGAUGACAAGGACCUAGAGCCACCCCGACAUAACCAGGAUAUGGGCAGCACACUGUGCAGCAAGUGUCCUGUCGCUGCACACCGAGUCUGUCUGCAGGCACCAGGCCCUGUCACAGCACUGACUGCCCCAGGGAGGGCAUGCACGGAUUGACCAGCAGCCACCAUCCAGGUGAAAAGGGGUAAGGAUUCCCUGGCGGCAGUCACGCCAAGCCCAGGAAGUCAGGGAAGGCACGAUAUGGCUUCCUUUGGGCAUGGGACAUGACUUCUGAUUGAAAUCAGGGAUCUGUGGGCCGCUUCCAAUGCCGAAACUAAUCGAAAGCAGGUGCCCCAACAAACACAGCUCCACACGUGUCCCAGCAACCACAGGACACCCAGGCAUCCAUCCAUCUGCACAGAGAAACCAUUUGCAGUCUCUACAUACAACAGAGUAUUACUCAGCGGCAGAAAGGGAUGAGAUUACAGCAGAGAAAGGAAUGAAGUCUCAGCAUGUGUGACACUGUGGAUAAACCACCGACGUGCUAUGCUAAUUGUGAAAAAGCAGACACGAGGAUCCCGCGAGUCUGAGUCCAAGGGUUGCAGUGUGCGGAGGUUGAGUCCAGGGAGGAAGGGGGUCAAGUGAUGGCUGCCACAGUGUUUCGGGGGCAGGGAGAAGGUCCCUGGCUGCUCAAAGGGCACAGGAAGUUUUUAAGGGGUGAGGGAAAUGUUCUGAAAGUAGAAGGGACAUGAUGUAAUCAUGCGAUUAUGCUAAAUGCUGCUGAGUGCUCAUUUCCAUGUUAUAUGAAUUUUUGCCUCAGAAAGAAAGAAAGGAAGGAAGAAAGAAAGAAAGAAAGAAAGAAAGAAAGAAAGGAGAGAAGGAAAGAAAGAAAGAAAAAGGAAAGAAAGAAAGAAAUUACAACACAGUAGGCCAGGGGGCCUGAGAGGACAGAAGAUGGGUGACUGACAGCAGGGAGUGCUGGAGGGUGGGGAAGCCAAACCCAGCAAGCUUCUCAUGACAUCCUGAGCAGCUGUUGUGAAUCUCAGGCAGAGAGCCCAGCCAAUGGAGAAGGCCUUCGAGACUGUUCUGAGCCACUGGCCACAGAAGGACUGACUAUAGGAGGGGGUCCUGGUAGCAGGGAGGUGGCUCAAGGAGGGCCCCCUCAACCUUCCUCUUUUGCUCAAUCUCUCUUCUCCCUUCACACUCCGAUUCUGACACUUUGCUGGUAUUUCCUGUGUCAAUCACCGUGGUAAACCCAGUAAACCCAGCCUCAAGAUAAAGGCACAGGGCCUAGGAGCUGCCAGCCACUCAGUUACCAAAGAACCAUGGCUGUCCACACGUAGUUUCUAUAAAGAUAGGACAAGCGGGGCCCAGAGAGGGAGCGGCCUUUCCCAGAUUAGCACAGGUGAAGACCAGACUUCGGUAGAAGCCAGGUUCUUGGUACCGGCGUGGGUUCUUCUAUCAAGGUUGGUAUGGGGCCCCAAGCUCUAAGUUGGAGUUGUCCUUGAGCCCCUGGGGCUCUUGAACUCUGCUCUCAAAAUGUAAUUGGGAAAAGUCAUCGGGCUGCUAUUUCUAGACUCAGCUCCCUGGAGACAGGGGCUACUUGGGGAAGCGUGACUUCACAUGGACUAGGCAUUGACUAGGCUAACUCUCCUGUAGCUGUGAAAGGGAAGCAGGGCUUCUCUCCCUGCCCCCAGCCAGUCCUCCUGCCCCAGUCUCUGUAGAACCCCAAAAUUUCCUAUAUAUCUCUACACUGCCCCACUCUGCCAGGCUAGCAGAAGCUUGACUGAUGAUUCCUGCCUUCCCAUCUCAGUAGCAAGGCCAAGGCUCAGAGAGAACAGUGACUGACUAGGCCAGGAUCCCCUCCCUGGCCAGGAAGUACUAAGACUAGAGGUCAGUCCUGACCCAGGCUUUUCUUUGUUUAGUAAGCACACAUUCCCAACAGUAAAAAUCUGCACACCUAUACCUCCACGCAUAUUUCUAACUGCAUAGCAUAUCCACAUCUCCAAAUACUCUACGUUCUAGAAGGAGAAUUUUAAAAUGAAGCAAAAGAGGGCUGGUGAGAUGGUUCCGCAGCUAAAGGUACUUGCUACCAAGCCUGAGGAACUGAGUUCGAUCCCUAGGACCCCCAUGAUAGGAAAGAACUGACUCUCAAAUGUGCCAUGACCUGUACAUCUGUACAUCUGGUAGCAUGUACACAAACACACUACAAUAAUUAAAUGCAAUUUAUUUUAAAGGAUGAAUGGAAACGUUCUUAAGCUGGGGCUGGAGGUAAAAUGCUGGCCUCACAACCCUAAUGACCUGAGUUCGAGUCUCCAGAACUCAUAUAAAAGCUGAAUGCAAGCCUGUGUAAUCCCAGCACGCCCCUACCAGGAGAUGGGAAGCAGACAGAGUGUUGUCAGCUCACCUAGCAUAGGUAAGCAGUGAGUGAAUUGUCUGCAACAAGUUGGAAAGUGAGGCUCAGACCCAGGUUGUCUUCCGACCUCUGACGCGUGCAGGGGUACCCACGUACUGCCCCAGUCCUCACAAAGUAUUGUGAAUCUAAGUUCAAGACCCUCAUUCCUAUACAGAACCUGCAGCCCUACUUCAAAUCCAUGGUGAUGGGGAAUCCUGAUCAUGAGCGUGAAUGAGAAUUCUCUAAGCACUGAGUCUAUGUCUGCAGGAUCUUGUCUCAGCGGCCCUGAGACGAGGCUUCAGAAUCUUUCUUUAAGCAAGGACAUCAACAGGGCCUCUCCCAGCUUCUGGCUCCUAGUGUGGAGGCGUGGGCAGGUAGAGAGGGGUGCAACCAGGCCUUGCCUCCUGACAUCUCUGCUUAGGAAGGGCUGCGGCAUGUGGUUUUCUGACUUUUGAAAUGUUAUUUUUUCCCCUAGCCCACCGCAGAGCAGCCUGCCCAAUCACAGAGGCCUCUACGUGCAAAAAAGAGGAACGGACAGUUUUCUGCAAUGACUCAGCCGCAAAGAUCUCACUGUUCUCAGGAGAGCCAACAUCACAGACAGCAACAGUCAGUGGCUACAGUUUUGCACCCAUUUCUCAAGUGCCUCAACGUGUGAGCUUUCCUUGUAAAAGACCUUAUUCUUAUGUGCACGGCACAGCCCUCAGUGCCAUGGAGCCUGGAACUGCCUAGUCAGGUAGUCAGUCAACAAACACACAUCCAUCUCACAUACGUACCAACCUCAGACAGAGAUGAAGUUGCAAUAGAGUAGCAGGCUAAGCACCAGGCAAGCAGAUUCCAGCUCUGAUGUUACAGCCACUCGAGGCAUGUGGCUGGCUGACUGCUCCUCUCUGUAAAGGAGAACCGUGGUCACCUAGGCCUGCUACUGCUGCACUCAUUACUCUGUCUGGUGAGCACCCUGGCCUGAGGUACACCAAAUGAAUUUGAAGGUUCUCAGCCCCUGGGAUACAGAAGCGAACAAGCUUGUUAAGCCCACCGUCUGAGGAGGACGCAAUCGGGAAACCCGCUGAAGAAGGAAGUUUGGUGACCGCUUUAACAGACCAAGCAAAUCUAGGGGAGAAAGAGGAAGGGCUUUCAGGAUGGAGGAACAGCAUGGACAAAGGCGCAGAGGUCAGAAAAUACAGGCUGAACAUCAAGGAGAGCUAAGGGCCUGCCCCCUGAGUGCCACUGAAAGGCAGGGAGAUCCAGACAGCUGUCAGAGGGCAGCAGUGGAAGCUGGGGAUAGGAACUAUGAUGUCGGGACCUGGCCCCUCUAUAACUAAGUCCUGCUAAUAAUGGUUGAGCCAUUGGGCUAAGGGUUUCCGCCUGCUCCAGAGAAACUGCAUCCCACCCCCCCCCAAAAAAAAAAAAAACCAAACACUGCUUUUUCUAUGUCCUUGCUUCUUA